rnacentral:misc_RNA from 1 species
UAAUAAGUGUUUUAUGGCACUUUUUAAAUCCAUAUCCACCUUGUGUGCAAUGUCAGUCGAUCUUCUUCAUGGAGAUCGACCAAACAUCAACCUUUAUUUUUUAACUCCUUUGUCUGAAAAAUAUUAUGAAUAAACAAUUCAAAAUA